CAGGAAGGAGAAAUAAAAGCCAGUCUUGCAAACAUGUAAGAAACUGCAAAAAUACAUAUUGGUCAGUAAUAUCCUCUUUUGGAUUAAAGCUACUCCAGGACUUCCCUCAAAGCCUUGCUCACAACUGAAUAGAUAUGUGUGACCCUAGGCAUUGCUGGAGUUCAUUACUGCCCUUCAGGUGAAAUUAGCACAAGGAUGCACCUGAACUUGUUUUUUUUCUGUCAGCAGAAAGCACUAAUUCAGCUACUUGUCUAUGGAGAGAGAAAAGCCUAUGUUACCACCUACAUGCAAUGAAACCUAAGAAUUUUUGCUACUUGGCCAUUGCCCAGCCAUCAGUAUCAUCUUCAUGUCUAUCAUUUUCACCUGUGAGUCCAUUUUUUACAAGAAGAAAUUGCUUUUCUGACUAUGACUGAAACUCCCCCCUCCACAUUUUAAUGUUUAUAUGUUGUUCUGGUACUCAUGAUUUAAAAGCAAUGGAAAAUGCAAAGUAUAGGAAGAGCUGAUUUGUUGUACAUUCAGAAUUUAGCUAAAAAGAAAGAAGGGAACUAUGAUUUUGAUUCAGUGAGAUAUGUAAGCAUGUGUAUAACAAUAAACACUUGACUAUUCCUGUUGAUACUUUUAAAUUGUAGUUGUGUUCCUUGCCCUACACCUUUCAGGAGUUUUGAGCAUAUUUCCAAGUCUCCUUCUUUUAUGAGAUUUCUUACAGUGCUAUAUGAAUGUCACUUGGAGGAGGAGUAAAGAUAUUUCAAGAGCUGCUUGUAUUUUUCUACUGUAACAUUAAGCAUAUAUGAUGCUCAUAAAUACACAAUCAACUAUCAAGUGCAUAGACUCUGGAAAUGUCAACUGCUUAUACUGAUCACUUUAGAAAGAGCUGGAAUUUUGGCACUGGUAUUAAUCACUACAACAAUUCUGUUGACAGGAAGUAUUUACCCAUAUUACACUAGCUAAAGAGCACAGGGAAAUCCAGUAGUGCUGUGCAAGGUGAUAGAGAUAAGGACAAAUUCUCUGGGUAUUGUUCACUUUUGAAACAGACUCCUUGACUGGUCUCUCACUGGGGUUAUUAGUAAUAUUGGUAUUACAUUCUGAAAAUACGAUUGGACCUUUAGCGUCUGUAGUAUAUGUUUUCAGGUUCUCACUUAGUGCUCCUAGUGCUAGUUAUGUCAUUACCAGAAUUUCUCCUAGUUUUAAAUAUCCCACGUUAUUGUUUGGCAUAAUGCAAGCACAGCUACA